GUGGGGAAUAUUGCACAAUGGGCGAAAGCCUGAUGCAGCAACGCCGCGUGAGGGACGACGGCCUUCGGGUUGUAAACCUCUUUUAGCAGGAAAGAAGCGAAAGUGACGGUACCUGCAGAAAAAGCGCCGGCUAACUACGUGCCAGCAGCCGCGGUAAUACGUAGGGCGCAAGCGUUAUCCGGAAUUAUUGGGCGUAAAGAGCUCGUAGGCGGUCUGUCGCGUCUGCUGUGAAAACCCGAGGCUCAACCUCGGGCCUGCAGUGGGUACGGGCAGACUAGAGUGCGGUAGGGGAGAUUGGAAUUCCUGGUGUAGCGGUGGAAUGCGCAGAUAUCAGGAGGAACACCGAUGGCGAAGGCAGAUCUCUGGGCCGUAACUGACGCUGAGGAGCGAAAGGGUGGGGAGCAAACAGGCUUAGAUACCCCAGUAGUCC
rnacentral:rRNA from 1 species